rnacentral:miRNA from 1 species
UCUGAUAGUCAUUAGCCCUAUUCACAUUAGAGACGGACAAGUCGUCUAGACGAACAAACCGUCUCUCAAAAAUCGUCUUCACAGACGGACAAGUAGUCGAACAAAUUCAGACGACUUGUUCGUCUAAAAUUUUGUACGACACGUUUUCACAUCUGAUGAUUUGUCCGACUAAAAGACGAUUUUGAGACAAUUUGUUCGUCUAGACGACUUGUCCAUCUUCUAAUAUGAAAACAGCUAUUAUAACA